rnacentral:rRNA from 1 species
UAUGGCAGCUAGCUCUGUGCAACUCUCACAUCGUCGUCCACUGAAGCUAAGCAUGGCUGCGCCCAGUCAGUACCUCGAUGGGAGACCACAUGGGAAAGCUAGAUUGCUGUCAGAA